rnacentral:rRNA from 1 species
CCUGAGCCUCUCGGGCCAAAGACGUGCCAUGGGCUAGCCCCAUCGGUUCUCUUCGCCCAAACAACAAACCCCCGGCGCCGAACGCGCCAAGGAACAUGAUUCUAAGGGCGUUCUCUUGUCGUCCCGGCAACGGUGCACGUGCAACGAGUGACGCGAAAUUUGUAUCCAAAAUGACUCUCGGCAACGGAUAUCUCGGCUCUCGCAUCGAUGAAGAACGUAGCGAAAUGCGAUACUUGGUGUGAAUUGCAGAAUCCCGUGAACCAUCGAGUCUUUGAACGCAAGUUGCGCCCGAAGCCAUUAGGCCGAGGGCACGUCUGGCUGGGUGUCACGCAACGUCGCCCCAACCCCCACGCCCAUCGCAGGGCGUCGGGGGUCGAGGGCGGAUGAUGGCCUCCCGUGAGCCACGCCUCGCGGAUGGCCGAAAUAAGAGUUUGCGAUGUGGCGAGCACCACGGCGCACGGUAGUUGAGUAAACAACGCUCGAGCCCAGUCGUGCGUGCUCCGCCCCCGUGGCGAGCUCGGAGACCCUAUCGCGUCUCGGGACGCUUCUGAUGCGACCUCAGUCUCAGGCGGGGCUACCC